rnacentral:tRNA from 1 species
GUGGAUACAGCUCAGUGGUAGAGUCCCUGCCUCGCGUGCAUGAGAUCCUGGGUUCAAUCCCUAGUACCUCCA